rnacentral:rRNA from 1 species
CUUGCUUCCGCCGACGACCGGCGCACGGGUGCGUAACGCGUAUACAAUCUACCUUAUACUGGGGUAUAGCCUUUAGAAAUGAAGAUUAACCCCCCAUAGUCUCUUAGAGUGGCAUCACUUCUAGAGUAAAGGUUACGGUAUAAGAUGAGUAUGCGUUCUAUUAGUUUGUUGGUGUGGUAACGGCACACCAAGACUACGAUAGAUAGGGGCCCUGAGAGGGGGAUCCCCCACACUGGUACUGAGACACGGACCAGACUCCUACGGGAGGCAGCAGUGAGGAAUAUUGGACAAUGGAGGCAACUCUGAUCCAGCCAUGCCGCGUGCAGGAAGACUGCCCUAUGGGUUGUAAACUGCUUUUAUACAGGAAGAAACACCUCUACGUGUAGAGGCUUGACGGUACUGUAAGAAUAAGGAUCGGCUAACUCCGUGCCAGCAGCCGCGGUAAUACGGAGGAUCCAAGCGUUAUCUGGAAUCAUUGGGUUUAAAGGGUCCGUA